UCUUUGAUGGCUCAGAUGGUAAAGAAUCUGCUUUCAAUGCAGGAGGCUCAGGUUUGAUUCCUGGGUGAGGAA
rnacentral:tRNA from 1 species